rnacentral:lncRNA from 1 species
UAGGAUAGAGACUAUAUUAAGGUUGUUGAAGAAUACAAAGAGUCCAUAUCGGAUACUUAACACAAAAUACAAAGUCUCAUAUAAUAUAUGACUGACAUCGAUGCCUUUGUUUUUUUGUUUUUUGUUUUGGUAAAUACCACGAGCUGUCCCUACACACGAAGGGUGGAAUUAAUCCCCGUCGGGGUUCGACUUGUCCCUAGCCACAAAGUGCUUCUAACGAGUGGUUAAAACCCCACACCUACUAAACAGGUAGUUAAGUUGGAGACGAUAUUAAUGUUGUUAGUAGUGGGUCAUGUUUUUGAUUGAUAUGUCCCGAAAUACAUUUUGGUCCAACUUCCUAUUCCAUUUCUUUGGCUGCUCAUCUCCAAAUCAAAAGCAAAUCAUGAGCCUUCCACAAAAAAAAAAAAAAAAGAACCUAUCUCGAAUCCAAAUUUCAUUUUUCUAUGUUAUUUUGAGUUUAGACCAUAAGGGGAAAAAAAGGAAAAAAGGAAAUACGCCAUUUUAUAUAUCGAUUAGCCAUCCAAAUUUUAACCAAAGUUUUUGUUUUGAAACUAAAAUUGAAUCAAGGGGAAACUCACACAAUGUAACUUGAAUGUUGUGACGUCGUGUCUCAAUGUGUCCCUCCAAAGAAAAUAUUGAUCCAUCACAUUAAUUGUCCUCUAAGUUAUUAUUUUGUUGGGUGGCAUUCACUAAUAUUCAUAUUUUUAUUUAGAUAUUCCAGGCUUGCAUUCAUAAUUCAGUCAAAAAAACCACUAGCCACAAAAGGGC